rnacentral:rRNA from 1 species
UACGGGGGGAGCAAGCGUUGUUCGGAUUUACUGGGCGUAAAGGGCGCGUAGGCGGUCAGCACAAGUCAGUUGUGAAAUCUCUGAGCUUAACUCAGAACGGCCAAGUGAUACUGCAGUGCUAGAGUGCAGAAGGGGCAAUCGGAAUUCUUGGUGUAGCGGUGAAAUGCGUAGAUAUCAAGAGGAACACCUGAGGUGAAGACGGGUUGCUAGGCUGACACUGACGCUGAGGCGCGAAAGCCAGGGGAGCAAACGGG